rnacentral:piRNA from 1 species
UUCCUAGAGCUGAGUUAUUCAUUCUGGAC